rnacentral:rRNA from 1 species
GAUGAACGCUGGCGGCGCGCCUAACACAUGCAAGUCGAACGAGCGAGAGAGAGCUUGCUUUCUCGAGCGAGUGGCGAACGGGUGAGUAACGCGUGAGGAACCUGCCUCAAAGAGGGGGACAACAGUUGGAAACGACUGCUAAUACCGCAUAAGCGCACAGUGCUGCAUGGCACAGUGCGAAAAACUCCGGUGGUAUGAGAUGGACCCGCGUCUGAUUAGCUAGUUGGUGGGGUAACGGCCUACCAAGGCGACGAUCAGUAGCCGGCCUGAGAGGGUGAACGGCCACAUUGGGACUGAGACACGGCCCAA